rnacentral:rRNA from 1 species
GUCGACAACGGGACUUCUUCCCCCGACUUACGCCGACGGUGAGUACACAUGGNUUACCCUUACCUAUAGUCUGGAAUAACUCCCGGGAAAACCGGGGCUUAAUGNCCGGAUACAUGUUGGACCGCAUGGUCCUACAGUGUAAAAGACGGUUCUUCUGUCACUAAUAGAUGGACCCGCCCCGUAUUAGCUAUUUGUUAAGGUACGGCUUACCAAGGCAACGAUACGUAGCCGACCUGAGAGGUUGAUCGGCCACAACUGGAACUGAGACACGGUCCAGACUCCUACGGGAGGCAGCAGUAGGGAAUCUUCCGCAAUGGGCGAAAGCCUGACGGAGCAACGCCGCGUGAGUGAUGAAGGCCUUCGGGUCGUAAAACUCUGUUAUUAGGGAAGAACAAAUGUGUAAGUAACUAUGCACGUCAUGACGGUACCUAAUCAGAAAGCCACGGCUAACUACGUGCCAGCAGCCGCAGUAAUACGUAGGUGGCAAGCGUUAUCCGGAAUUAUUGGGCGUAAAGCGCGCGUAGGCGGUUUCUUAAGUCUGAUGUGAAAGCCCACGGCUCAACCGUGGAGGGUCAUUGGAAACUGGGAAACUUGAGUGCAGGAGAGGAAAGUGGAAUUCCAUGUGUAGCGGUGAAAUGCGCAGAGAUAUGGAGGAACACCAGUGGCGAAGGCGACUUUCUGGUCUGCAACUGACGCUGAUGUGCGAAAGCGUGGGGAUCAAACAGGAUUAGAUACCCUGGUAGUCCACGCCGUAAACGAUGAGUGCUAAGUGUUAGGGGGUUUCCGCCCCUUAGUGCUGCAGCUACGCAUUAAGCCCACUCCGCCUGGAGAGUACGACCGCA